AGCGUUAUCNGGAAUUAUUGGGCGUAAAGAGNUCGUAGGCGGUUUGUCGCGUCUGCCGUGAAAGUCCGGGGGCUCAACUCCGGAUCUGCGGUGGGUACGGGCAGACUAGAGUGAUGUAGGGGAGACUGGAAUUCCUGGUGUAGCGGUGAAAUGCGCAGAUAUCAGGAGGAACACCGAUGGCGAAGGCAGGUCUCUGGGCAUUAACUGACGCUGAGGAGCGAAAGCAUGGGGAGCGAACAGGAUUAGAUACCCUGGUAGUCCAUGCCGUAAACGUUGGGCACUAGGUGUGGGGGACAUUCCACGUUUUCCGCGCCGUAGCUAACGCAUUAAGUGCCCCGCCUGGGGAGUACGGCCGCAAGGCUAAAACUCAAAGGAAUUGACGGGGGCCCGCACAAGCGGCGGAGCAUGCGGAUUAAUUCGAUGCAACGCGAAGAACCUUACCAAGGCUUGACAUGGACCGGACCGCUGCAGAAAUGUGGUUUCCCCUUUGGGGCCGGUUUACAGGUGGUGCAUGGUUGUCGUCAGCUCGUGUCGUGAGAUGUUGGGUUAAGUCCCGCAACGAGCGCAACCCUCGUUCUAUGUUGCCAGCACGUGAUGGUGGGGACUCAUAGGAGACUGCCGGGGUCAACUCGGAGGAAGGUGGGGACGACGUCAAAUCAUCAUGCCCCUUAUGUCUUGGGCUUCACGCAUGCUACAAUGGCCGGUACAAAGGGUUGCGAUACUGUGAGGUGGAGCUAAUCCCAAAAAGCCGGUCUCAGUUCGGAUUGGGGUCUGCAACUCGACCCCAUGAAGUCGGAGUCGCUAGUAAUCGCAGAUCAGCAACGCUGCGGUGAAUACGUUCCCGGGCCUUGUACACACCGCCCGUCAAGUCACGAAAGUUGGUAACACCCGAAGCCGGUGGCCUAACCCCCUUUGUGGGAGGG
rnacentral:rRNA from 1 species